GGCAGUUAACACUGGGUCAGCCCCCAGAGGAAAAGCCCGGGUGCGGGGCUGUGACGAAGUGGGACUGUUCUUAAUGUUUCCUCUGAAUAGUGUGGGGGUGCCUCAGUUUCCCCUAUGCAGUUCUUAAGUAUCUAGGGGGUGGAGUAAGGGUGUAUGAUCAUUGCAGAGCCCUAGAGGGCAGGUGUGUGCAGGAGUCUGGACACAGAGAAUGGCCGACACCCUGUUUCCUGGCAACUGAUGGCCUGGGCCCUUCCCCCCCUGCAAGGUGAGAGCUGAAGGGUUGGAGAACAAAGGAAUCAGGUGACCACCUGGCCCGGGAAAGGAACAAAGCCCAGAGGAGGAGGGGCUGGAGGGGGUUUCAGUUUGGGGCUGGCUGGGACAUGGAGUGAAGUGCAGACGUGGUUGUCUGGCUCACUGCCCCCCAAAAUGGACCCAGCUGAGGGGUCCCGUUCUCUGCACCUGCAAGCUCUGUGUUAGACCAUGUUCCUGUCGUCUAAUAAACCUUCUGUUUUACUGGCUGGCUGAGAGUCACGUCUGACUGCGAAGUUGGGGUGCAGGACCCUCUGGCUUCCCCAGGAGCCCCGCCUGAGCGGACUCGCUGUGGGAAGCGCACGGAGGGGCAGAGGAUGCUGAAUGCUCCGAGGUCAGACCCAGGAAGGUGGAAGCUGUGUGAGCUGCGUGUCCUGAAGACAGGCUGCUCACAGAAAGGCGACUGCCCCAGAGUCCUGACUGGCUUCAUGGGGAGCAGUUCCAGAGCAUCGCCCAGGGACUCCGUGACAGGGGCAAAGAAAGAGACGGCUGCUGUCACCCUCAGAGCUCCUCGGGCCAGGUGACACUUCCAGUCCCGGCACAUUGAUCUGCGGAACAGACGCCCCGAUUCCUGGACACGCCUGCCCCCACCGUCCCUUGGUCCAGUGACAAGCAGACAAGCUCCAACAGGAGAUCAUUCAGGGCAGUUCUGCGGCCGGCGUUCUUCACAGCUCAGCCUAGACGAUCGCCGUCGUCCCUCCUGGCCCUGGAAUCGAGGGCGCUAUUCGGCACGCCAGGAGAUGGCCGGUGAGAGUGCCAGGCAGCGAGACGGUGCCGGCCAGCGGGCUCAGCUCACCGGCUGCUAGAUCGCAGUGGGAACACUUUGGUCCAG